UGGGGAAUUUUCCGCAAUGGGGGGAACCCUGACGGCGCAACGCCGCGUGCGGGAGGACGGCCUGUGGGUUGUAAACCGCUUUUCUCCAGGCAGAAGGUCUGACGGUACUAGAGGAAUCAGCAUCGGCUAAGUCCGUGCCAGCAGCCGCGGUAAUACAGAGGGGGCAAGCGUUCUCCGGACUUACUGGGCGUAAAGCGCACGCAGGUGGUAACGCAAGUGGGGUGUGAAAGCCGCCAGCUCAACUGGCGGAGGCCAUCCCAAACUGCGUCACUUGAGGCCUGUAGAGGUAUGUGGAAUUGCCGGUGUAGUGGUGAAAUGCGUAGAGAUCGGCAGGAACACCCAGGGGGAAGCCAGCAUACUGGACAGGUCCUGACACUCAGGUGCGACAGCGUGGGGAGCGAACCGGAUUAGAUACCCGCGUAGUCC
rnacentral:rRNA from 1 species